rnacentral:lncRNA from 1 species
UUUUUCUCUGGUUUUCUUUGUGUUUCAGGGUGUAGAAGGAAGCCCUGGUGUGCCUGCAAAGGCACGGACUUGCCUUCCUUUUAUAGAAGAAGGGGUGGUUACUUUUUGGUGGUUACUUUUUAACCAUCCCUUCGGUUUCAAUCCUGGCCAUUGAUUUAAUCAAUGGUCCAGAUCACACCCUUUCGCCUCUGGCAGUUACCACACGCCCUGGAACUGCCAAUCCACUCCUGGACAAGG